rnacentral:rRNA from 1 species
GUUAAAAAGCUCGUAGUUGGAUUUCUGUUGAGGUCGGCCGGUGUGCAUUACGUGUAUUAUCAGGUUUGGUCUUGGCAUCCUCUGAGGCACGAGGGACUUCAUUGGCUCUCGAGUUUUCAGACUUUUACUUUGAGGAAAUUAGAGUGUUCACGGCAAGCAAGCGCUUUGAAUACAUUAGCAUGGAAUAAUAAUAUAGGACCUUCGUUCUAUUUUGUUGGUUUCUAGAACUUGGGUAAUGAUUAAUAGGGACAAUUGGGGGCAUUCGUAUUAACGCGUCAGAGGUGAAAUUCUUAGAUUGCGUUACGGCGAACUACUGCGAAAGCAUUUGCCAAAGAUGUUUUCAUUGAUCAAGAACGAAAGUAUGGGGAUCGAAGAUGAUUAGAUACCGUCGUAGUCUAUACCAUAAACUAUGCCAACUAGGGAUUGGACAGGUACAUUUAUCGACCUGUUCAGCACCUUAUGAGAAAUCAAAGUUUUUGGGUUCCGGGGGGAGUAUGGUCGCAAGGCUGAAACUUAAAGGAAUUGACGGAAGGGCACCACCAGGAGUGGAGCCUGCGGCUUAAUUUGACUCAACACGGGAAAACUUACCAGGUCCAGACAUAGUAAGGAUUGACAGAUUGAAAGCUCUUUCUUGAUUCUGUGGGUGGUGGUGCAUGGCCGUUCUUAGUUGGUGGAGUGAUUUGUCUGGUUAAUUCCGUUAACGAACG